rfam:Nicotiana attenuata strain TT chromosome 12, whole genome shotgun sequence.
UGGACGGAUUACUGUAUUCACGGCGUGAAAUAGGGGAUUACACUGUUUUUAAAACGGAAAGUGAAUCAAUUAACAUAAUAGACUCUA